ACGGUGACUUGCAAGCAACUCACUGCACUUAGGCACUAGACUACCUGAAUUUCUAAUUUAGUGACGGAAGGUUGCUGGGUGUAGUCAAGUACUUGACUUGUCGGUGCGUGUGUCAAGAUGGGAUUGACCACUCUAGUUUAGGAGCUGUGUACAAUCGUGUUUCAAUUUAGUAAAAUCUUGGCUAGGGUAGUCCUAGUGAGGAGUCACAGGAC
rnacentral:lncRNA from 1 species